rnacentral:rRNA from 1 species
AUUGAACGCUGGCGGCAUGCCUUACACAUGCAAGUCGAACGGUAACAGGUCUUCGGAUGCUGACGAGUGGAGAACGGGUGAGUAAUACAUCGGAACGUGCCCGAUCGUGGGGGAUAACGAGGCGAAAGCUUUGCUAAUACCGCAUACGAUCUACGGAUGAAAGCGGGGGAUCUUCGGACCUCGCGCGGACGGAGCGGCCGAUGGCAGAUUAGGUAGUUGGUGGGAUAAAAGCUUACCAAGCCGACGAUCUGUAGCUGGUCUGAGAGGAUGAUCAGCCACACUGGGACUGAGACACGGCCCAGACUCCUACGGGAGGCAGCAGUGGGGAAUUUUGGACAAUAGGCGAAAGCCUGAUCCAGCCAUGCCGCGUGCAGGAUGAAGGCCUUCGGGUUGUAAACUGCUUUUGUACGGAACGAAAAGCCUCUUUCUGAUAAAGAGGGGUCAUGACGGUACCGGAAGAAUAAGCACCGGCUAACUACGUG